GGUAGCCUAGUGGUCAAGGUAACGGACUCAUGGUCGGUGUGUCAUGAGUUCGAGCCUAAUACCA